GAAGUCUUGUUGUUCAGUCGCUCAGUCAUGUACAACUCUUUGCAACCCCAUGGACUGCAGCAUGCCAGGCUUCCCUGUCUGUCACUAUCUCCUGGAGUUUGCUCAAACUCAUGUACAUUGUCAGUGAUGCCAUCCAGCAAUCUCAUCCUCUGUCGCCCCCUUCUCCUCCUACCCUCAGUCUUUUCCUAUCAGUCACAUAGGAAAAAGCUGAAAUGAAGACAUAAGGCUAAGACAUCUCUAAGAAGUCGGCAAGGCAUCUUCAUAUAAAAAGCACUUUAAAAGAAUAAUCUCUGGGGAAAAAAAAAGAAUAAUCUCUGGGCAGAGUAAGACCUUUUAGAGACUCCUCGGUACUGAAAAAAUUCUGGUGGAGGACUUCUAGUUUCCCGUCUGGCAUGUAAGGAGCUUAGAAGUUGCUGCUCUGUCAUAACAGCAAGUAAAAAGCUGAACAAACUGAAAAAGAAAAACAAACAAACUUGUCUUAGAUCUGUCAAAGAAAUGAGGUCACAGAGCAAAUCACCAGAUGAGUGGACACAGAGAAUCACAACUUCCGGGAGCAGAAGCCACCCUGCUGUGUGGGCGCGCAGCCGUGCCCGACUCUCUGCGACCCCAUGGACUGUAGCCCGCCAGGCUCCUCUGUUCAUGCGAUUCUCCAGGCAAGAAUACUGGGGUGGGUUGCCAGUUCCUCCUCUCGGGGAUCUUCCCAACCCGGGAAUAGAAACUGCAUCUCUUGCGUCUUCUCCUUUGGCAGGGGCAUUCUUUACCACUGAGCGACCUGGGAAGCCCAAUAAUGGAAAAACCUGAACUGUAACUGAAAAAUUGCUGGAAGGCCCUGCCAAAUAUUACUUCUAGGUGAGGUCUUCCUCCAGCCUCAGUUCAUCGCUCCAGUGCAUUCCUCCUUGGAGACUCGACAGCACCUGGUUUAUAUCGAGAAUGGCACUUCCUGUGGUCUUACAUCAGAGUGGGUGUCUCCCACUACCCAGUGAGCCCCUCAUAGGCAAGGGCUACCUUAUUCAGC
ensembl:lncRNA